rnacentral:rRNA from 1 species
AUACGGAGGAUCCGAGCGUUAUCCGGAUUUAUUGGGUUUAAAGGGUGCGUAGGCGGACCUGUAAGUCAGUGGUGAAAGUUUGCGGCUCAACCGUAAAAUUGCCAUUGAAACUACCGGUCUUGAGUGUAAAUGAGGUAGGCGGAAUGUGUUGUGUAGCGGUGAAAUGCUUAGAUAUAACACAGAACACCAAUUGCGAAGGCAGCUUACUAGGAUACAACUGACGCUGAGGCACGAAAGCGUGGGGAUCAAACAGGAUUAGAUACCCUGGUAGUCCACGCAGUAAACGAUGAAUACUAGCUGUAUGCGAUAUAAUGUAUGUGGCAAAGCGAAAGCGUUAAGUAUUCCACCUGGGGAGUACGUUCGCAAGAAUGAA